UAGGGAAUCUUCCGCAAUGGGCGAAAGCCUGACGGAGCAACGCCGCGUGAGUGAUGAAGGUCUUCGGAUCGUAAAACUCUGUUAUUAGGGAAGAACAAAUGUGUAAGUAACUAUGCACGUCUUGACGGUACCUAAUCAGAAAGCCACGGCUAACUACGUGCCAGCAGCCGCGGUAAUACGUAGGUGGCAAGCGUUAUCCGGAAUUAUUGGGCGUAAAGCGCGCGUAGGCGGAUUUUUAAGUCUGAUGUGAAAGCCCACGGCUCAACCGUGGAGGGUCAUUGGAAACUGGAAAACUUGAGUGCAGAAGAGGAAAGUGGAAUUCCAUGUGUAGCAGUGAAAUGCGCAGAGAUAUGGAGGAACACCAGUGGCGAAGGCGACUUUCUGGUCUGUAACUGACGCUGAUGUGCGAAAGCGUGGGGAUCAAACAGG
rnacentral:rRNA from 1 species